rnacentral:rRNA from 1 species
CGGAGGGUGCAAGCGUUGUCCGGAUUUAUUGGGUUUAAAGGGUGCGUAGGCGGCCCUGUAAGUCAGUGGUGAAAGCCUCCAGCUCAACUGGAGAACUGCCAUUGAUACUGCAGGGCUUGAGUACAGACGAGGUUGGCGGAAUUGAUUGUGUAGCGGUGAAAUGCAUAGAUACAAUCAAGAACUCCGAUUGCGUAGGCAGCUAACUAGGCUGUAACUGACGCUGAGGCACGAAAGCGUGGGGAGCGAACAGGAUUAGAUACCCUGGUAGUCCACGCUGUAAACGAUGAUUACUCGAUGUCGGCGAUAAACAGUCGGCGUCUUAGCGAAAGCGUUAAGUAAUCCACCUGGGGAGUACGCCCGCAAGGGUG